GGAGAGGUGGGUGAGUGGUUGAAACCGCAUCCCUGCUAAGGAUGUAUACCGCAAGGUAUCGAGGGUUCGAAUCCCUCCCUCUUCGCCA
rnacentral:tRNA from 1 species